CAGCAGUUCAUGUGGGGGGCCCUAGUGAAGACCUGUCUUGUUUCAAACUUGCCCAAUGAAGUAACUUGCCUGAUUACAAAGUGAAUAAAUUCAUACUUCGAGAUGUCACAUGUGUUGAAACAAGCAUGAACUUAUUCACAUUUGUAAUCAUUAACCCUAACGGUUGGACAUGUUUUUACCCUCUCCGGUGGAUUAUGGAAUCCGGCUCAAACAGAUUUCUCAACAACUGGAUCUGAUACAUAAGUACUCAGAGGACUACCAAGAACUUUCUCUAAUUCACCACUCACGUCCCAACGUGAAAAGCUAAAAUUUUACCUGUGAAUUCCCGUGAAGACAAGAGGGAACUAGGAAGAGGUAGUUCUCCACGGGAAGACCAAAGUAUUCUUUCCUGAAGAAAGAGGUAAACAUCCUGGGCCUUGCUUGUCGUUCCCUCGGGGUCAAACUCAGUGAACCUAGCAGUCUUCUGGGCUGAAGCGCUAAUGGCAGAAGGCCUGGAGAAAGGGG
rnacentral:lncRNA from 1 species